CGGGGCAUUUGGUGGAUGGAUAUAAGUUGGUUUUGAUGUCAAGAAAUCGACCCAGUUCAGGAUACAGGUUGAGCUUCAGCCCUUCAGAUGGCUACAGAAGACUCUGGAAUACGGGAUGAAUUUGGAGUUGCUUCUGUGCCUCAAUUGAAGAAGGAUGGCCUGGUUUUAGAAGAAUGGAUUCUAGACAGCAUCCAAAGG